UACGGUAGGAUGCGAGCGUUAUCCGGAUUUAUUGGGUUUAAAGGGUGCGCAGGCGGUCUGUUAAGUCAGCGGUCAAAGCCCGGGGCUCAACCCCGGCCCGCCGUUGAAACUGGCAGUCUCGAGUUGGAGAGAAGUAUGCGGGAAUGCGCGGUGUAGCGGUGAAAUGCAUAGAUAUCGCGCAGAACUCCGAUUGCGAAGGCAGCAUGCCGGCUCCACACUGACGCUGAGGCACGAAAGCGUGGGUAUCGAACAGG
rnacentral:rRNA from 1 species